AUUGAACGCUGGCGGCAGGCUUAACACAUGCAAGUCGAGCGGGGGAAGGUAGCUUGCUACCGGACCUAGCGGCGGACGGGUGAGUAAUGCUUAGGAAUCUGCCUAUUAGUGGGGGACAACAUCUCGAAAGGGAUGCUAAUACCGCAUACGUCCUACGGGAGAAAGCAGGGGAUCUUCGGACCUUGCGCUAAUAGAUGAGCCUAGGUCGGAUUAGCUAGUUGGUGGGGUAAUGGCUCACCACGGCGACGAUCCGUAACUGGUCUAAGAGGAUGAUCCGUCACACUGGACCUGCGACACGGUCCAGACUCCUACGGGAGGCAGCAGUGGGGAAUAUUGGACAAUGGGCGAAAGCCUGAUCCAGCCAUGCCGCGUGUGUGAAGAAGGUCUUCGGAUUGUAAAGCACUUUAAGUUGGGAGGAAGGGCAGUAAAUUAAUACUUUGCUGUUUUGACGUUACCGACAGAAUAAGCACCGGCUAACUCUGUGCCAGCCGCCGCAGUAA
rnacentral:rRNA from 1 species